rnacentral:lncRNA from 1 species
AAGGGGGAAAAAUAGCCCUGGAGAAGGCAGACAAGCAGCUGCGUUAUACACGACCCCCUCCCAACCUGAAGGUCUUCUUCUUCAGGAGAAAACUAAAUUCGACUACCCCAUUCCACCAGUAGCCCUCUUCUCCUCCCCACAUACGAAACAACCAUUGCCGCUUCUGCUUCUUCUCGUUCAAUACAGCCCCCCGAAAACCACUACACCCCUGCCCACCAUGAAACCAGCUAUACACACAGCAAUAUACAGAGAACAGAGGGAAGAAAAAUGGAAUUCGAAUGAUAUUUGGAUUUAAGUUUGCGUUCGAUUCGAGAUUCUUGGUGCCGAGUUGAGUUUCCAGUCCUAAUUUCUGCUCGUUUUUUGCCGUUUAACCACUGAUUUCUCGGAGUCAAGACGUGUAUUCAGUGCUAUUUCAUUGAUUUUUGAAGAGAAUUUUGGCUCAGCAGGUUUAUUUCUGUAUAUGGCUGUUGAUGCAAUAAAUUAGCCCCCUGAAAUGUGAGCUCUAUUUGGUUUCAAUUUGAUUUUAUCUUUAAAAAAAUAGUAGAGUUUCGCUAGUUUACUUUUUGUUAGAAGAAGGUCAAUGUGUAUAUUUACCUGAUGCUC